AUUGAACGCUGGCGGCAGGCCUAACACAUGCAAGUCGAGCGAGCGGCGGACGGGUGAGUAAUGUAUGGGGACUGCCCGAUAGAGGGGGAUAACUACUGGAAACGGUGGCUAAUACCGCAUACUAUCGUAUAACCCAUAUGGGAUUAGCUAGUAGGUGGGGUAAAGGCUCCCCUAGGCGACGAUCUCUAGCUGGUCUGAGAGGAUGAUCAGCCCAAAUGGGAAGUGGAAACGGCCCAAAAUCCUACGGAGGCAGCAGUGGGGAAAAAUGGAAAAGGGGGGGAAGCCUGAUGCAGCCAUGGCGGGUGGAAGAAGAAGGGCUUAGGGUUGUAAAGGAAUUUCAGCGGGGAGGCGUUACCCGCAGAAGAAGCACCGGCUAACUCCGUGCCAGCAGCCGCGGUAAUUC
rnacentral:rRNA from 1 species